CGCAGGGUGCGCUGCGGGUCGAAGCGCUCGCGCGGGUUGCGGGCAGCGAAGAACAGGGUGUCGAUCGCCUGGUUACCUUCCAGGUCGUGCAG
rnacentral:tRNA from 1 species